AACGAGGCCGACCUGCGGCUGAGUUACCUGCGGAGGGAUCAUUACCGAGUUUACAACUCCCAAACCCCUGUGAACAUACCUAUACGUUGCCUCGGCGGAUCAGCCCGCGCCCCGUAAAAAGGGACGGCCCGCCCGAGGACCCCUAAACUCUGUUUUUAGUGGAACUUCUGAGUAAAACAAACAAAUAAAUCAAAACUUUUAGCAAUGGAUCU
rnacentral:misc_RNA from 1 species